GAUGAACGCUGGCGGCGUGCUUAACACAUGCAAGUCGAACGGUGAAGGCGGAGCUUGCUCUGCUGGAUCAGUGGCGAACGGGUGAGUAACACGUGAGCAAUCUGCCCCUGACUCUGGGAUAAGCGCUGGAAACGGCGUCUAAUACUGGAUACGAGCUGCGAAGGCAUCUUCAGCAGCUGGAAAGAAUUUCGGUCAGGGAUGAGCUCGCGGCCUAUCAGCUUGUUGGUGAGGUAAUGGCUCACCAAGGCGUCGACGGGUAGCCGGCCUGAGAGGGUGACCGGCCACACUGGGAGUGAGACACGCCCCAGACUCAGCCGGGAGGAGGAAGGGGGGAAUAUGGCAAAAGGGCGGAAGGCUGGAUGCAGCACCGCGGCGGGGGGAAGCACGGCUUGGGGUUUGUAAACCUCUUUUGGCGGGAAAAAAGGGAAAGGGACGGUCCCGAAAAAAAAGGCGCCGGCAAACUACGGC
rnacentral:rRNA from 1 species